UACGUAGGGGGCAAGCGUUGUCCGGAAUCAUUGGGCGUAAAGCGCGUGUAGGCGGCCAGAAAAGUCCGCUGUGAAAACUCGAGGCUCAACCUCGAGCUGUCGGUGGAAACUUUCUGGCUAGAGUCCGGAAGAGGAGAAUGGAAUCCCUGGUGUAGCGGUGAAAUGCGCAGAUAUCAGGAAGAACACCCGUGGCGAAGGCGGUUCUCUGGGACGGUACUGACGCUGAGACGCGAAAGCGUGGGGAGCGAACAGG
rnacentral:rRNA from 1 species